AACGAACGCUGGCGGCAGGCUUAACACAUGCAAGUCGAACGCCCCGCAAGGGGAGUGGCAGACGGGUGAGUAACGCGUGGGAACAUACCCUUUCCUGCGGAAUAGCUCUGGGAAACUGGAAUUAAUACCGCAUACGCCCGCAAGGGGAAAGAUUUAUCGCCAUUGGAUGAACCCGCGUCGGAUUAGCUAGUUGGUGUGGUAAAGGCGCACCAAGGCGACGAUCCGUAGCUGGUCUGAGAGGAUGAUCAGCCACACUGGGACUGAGACACGGCCCAGACUCCUACGGGAGGCAGCAGUGGGGAAUAUUGGACAAUGGGCGCAAGCCUGAUCCAGCCAUGCCGCGUGAGUGAUGAAGGCCUUAGGGUUGUAAAGCUCUUUCGCCGACGAAGAUAAUGACGGUAGUCGGAGAAGAAGCCCCGGCUAACUUCGUGCCAGCAGCCGCCGUAAAAC
rnacentral:rRNA from 1 species